UACAGAGGUCCCGAGCGUUGUUCGGAUUCAUUGGGCGUAAAGGGUGCGUAGGCGGCGCGGUAAGUCGGGUGUGAAAUCUCGGGGCUUAACUCCGAAACUGCAUUCGAUACUGCCGUGCUUGAGGACUGGAGAGGAGACUGGAAUUUACGGUGUAGCGGUGAAAUGCGUAGAGAUCCGGAGGAACACCGCAGGCGAAGGCAGUGUCCUGGCGCGUACCUGACGCUGAGGUGCGAAAGCUAGGGGAGCGAACGGG
rnacentral:rRNA from 1 species